rnacentral:rRNA from 1 species
AUUGGACGCUGGCGGCAUGCUUUACACAUGCAAGUCGAACGGUAACAGGUUAAGCUGACGAGUGGCGAACGGGUGAGUAAUGCAUCGGAACGUGCCCGGUCGUGGGGGAUAACGCAGCGAAAGCUGCGCUAAUACCGCAUACGAUCUGAGGAUGAAAGCGGGGGACCGUAAGGCCUCGCGCGAUCGGAGCGGCCGAUGUCAGAUUAGGUAGUUGGUGGGGGAAAGGCUCACCAAGCCAACGAUCUGUAGCUGGGCGGAGAGGACGACCAGCCACACUGGGACUGAGACACGGCCCAGACUCCUACGGGAGGCAGCAGUGGGGAAUUUUGGACAAUGGGCGAAAGCCUGAUCCAGCAAUGCCGCGUGCAGGAAGAAGGCCUUCGGGUUGUAAACUGCUUUUGUACGGAGCGAAAAGGUCUCCUCUAAUACAGGGGGCUCAUGACGGUACCGUAAGAAUAAGCACCGGCUAACUACGUGCCAGCCGCCGCCGUAA